CCUACGGGCGGCUGCAGUGGGGAAUAUUGCACAAUGGGCGCAAGCCUGAUGCAGCCAUGCCGCGUGUGUGAAGAAGGCCUUCGGGUUGUAAAGCACUUUCAGCGGGGAGGAAGGCGUUAAGGUUAAUAACCUUGUCGAUUGACGUUACCCGCAGAAGAAGCACCGGCUAACUCCGUGCCAGCAGCCGCGGUAAUACGGAGGGUGCAAGCGUUAAUCGGAAUUACUGGGCGUAAGGCGCACGCAGGCGGUCUGUCAAGUCGGAUGUGAAAUCCCCGGGCUCAACCUGGGAACUGCAUUCGAAACUGGCAGGCUAGAGUCUUGUAGAGGGGGGUAGAAUUCCAGGUGUAGCGGUGAAAUGCGUAGAGAGCUGGAGGAAUACCGGUGGCGAAGGCGGCCCCCUGGACAAAGACUGACGCUCAGGUGCGAAAGCGUGGGGAGCAAACAGGAUUAGAUACCCGAGUAGUC
rnacentral:rRNA from 1 species